CAGUCGAGCGCUACCUUCGGGUGGAGCGGCGGACGGGUUAGUAACGCGUGGGAAUAUACCCUUCACUAUGGAAUAGCCUCGGGAAACUGAGAGUAAUACCAUAUACGCCCUUCGGGGGAAAGAUUUAUCGGUGAAGGAUUAGCCCGCGUAAGGUUAGAUAGUUGGUGGGGUAAUGGCCUACCAAGUCUACGAUCUUUAGCUGGUUUUAGAGGAUGAUCAGCAACACUGGGACUGAGACACGGCCCAGACUCCUACGGGAGGCAGCAGUGGGGAAUCUUAGACAAUGGGCGCAAGCCUGAUCUAGCCAUGCCGCGUGAGUGAUGAAGGUCUUAGGAUCGUAAAGCUCUUUCGCUAGGGAUGAUAAUGACAGUACCUAGUAAAGAAGCCCCGGCUAACUCCGUGCCAGCAGCCGCGGUAAUACGGAGGGGGUUAGCGUUGUUCGGAAUUACUGGGCGUAAAGCGUACGUAGGCGGAUCAGAAAGUUAGGGGUGAAAUCCCGAGGCUCAACCUCGGAACUGCCUCUAAAACUCCUGGUCUUGAGUUCGAGAGAGGUGAGUGGA
rnacentral:rRNA from 1 species